UACGUAGGGGGCUAGCGUUGUCCGGAUUUAUUGGGCGUAAAGAGCGUGUAGGCGGCCAUGUAGGUCCGGUGUGAAAACUCGAGGCUUAACCUCGAGAUGUCAUCGGAAACCAUUUGGCUAGAGUCCGGAAGAGGAGAGUGGAAUUCCUGGUGUAGCGGUGAAAUGCGCAGAUAUCGGGAGGAACACCAAUUGCGAAGGCAGCUCGCUGGGACGUCACUGACGCUGAGACGCGAAAGCGUGGGGAGCAAACAGG
rnacentral:rRNA from 1 species